GACGAACGCUGGCGGCGUGCUUAACACAUGCAAGUCGAACGGAAAGGCCCUGCUUUUGUGGGGUGCUCGAUUGGCGAACGGGUGAGUAACACGUGAGUAACCUGCCCUUGACUUUGGGAUAACUUCAGGAAACUGGGGCUAAUACCGGAUAGGAGCUCCUGCUGCAUGGUGGGGGUUGGAAAUUUUCGGCGGUUGGGGAUGGACUCGCGGCUUAUCAGCUUGUUGGUGGGGUAGUGGCUUACCAAGGCUUGGACGGGUAGCCGGCCUGAGAGGGUGACCGGCCACAUUGGGACUGAGAUACGGACCAGACUCCUACGGGAGGCAGCAGGGGGAAAUAUUGCACAAUGGGCGGAAGCCUGAUGCAGAAACGCCGCGUGCGGGAUGACGGCCUUCGGGUUGUAAACCGCUUUCGCCUGUGACGAAGCGUGAGUGACGGUAAUGGGUAAAGAAGCACCGGCUAACUACGUG
rnacentral:rRNA from 1 species